CUUAAAAGGAAUUGACGGGGACCCGCACAAGCAGCGGAGCAUGUGGUCUAAUUCGUUGCUACACGAAGAACCUUACCUGGGUUUGACAUAUAGGUUGUAGGGAACUGAAAAGGGACCGACCCUUCGGGGAGCCUAUACAGGUGUUGCAUGGCUGUCGUCAGCUCGUGUCGUGAGAUGUUCGGUUAAGUCCGCUAACGAGCGCAACCCUCGUCGUAUGUUAUAUGUGUCAUACGAGACUGCCGGUAAAAGCCGGAGGAAGGUGAGGAUGAUGUCAAGUCAGCAUGACCUUUAUAUCCAGGGCUACACACACGCUACAAUGGUCUGUACAAUGGGUAGCCAAGCCGCGAGGCGGAGCCAAUCCUGAAAGCAGGCCUCAGUUCAGAUUGCAGUCUGCAACUCGACUGCAUGAAGCCGGAGUUGCUAGUAACCGCAGGUCAGCAAUACUGCGGUGAAUACGUUCCCGGGUCUU
rnacentral:rRNA from 1 species